rnacentral:rRNA from 1 species
UGGGGAAUUUUGGACAAUGGGCGAAAGCCUGAUCCAGCAAUGCCGCGUGUGUGAAGAAGGCCUUCGGGUUGUAAAGCACUUUUGUCCGGAAAGAAAUCCUCUGGGGUUAAUACCUCGGGGGGAUGACGGUACCGGAAGAAUAAGCACCGGCUAACUACGUGCCAGCAGCCGCGGUAAUACGUAGGGUGCAAGCGUUAAUCGGAAUUACUGGGCGUAAAGCGUGCGCAGGCGGUUUUGUAAGACGGAUGUGAAAUCCCCGGGCUUAACCUGGGAACUGCAUUCGUGACUGCAAGGCUAGAGUAUGGCAGAUGGGGGUAGAAUUUCCACGUGUAGCAGUGAAAUGCGUAGAGAUGUGGAGGAAUACCGAUGGCGAAGGCAGCCCCC